rnacentral:lncRNA from 1 species
AAUAACAUGGUUGGUAAUUGAUUUCAUGUAAUAAUAGAUGAGUGUGUGUGUGUGUGUUCACAGUACACACAGACUUUCUCCAGCCAGAGUCUUGCAUCUACUAGGCAAGUACUCUUUUACACUAAAUUUUAAUCAACUCUUUCUAGCUGGGUUUUUUGUUUGUUUGUUUGUGUUUUUUUGUUGUUGUUUUGUUUUUGGCUAUUUUUACUUUGACAGAUUAAAUAAGCCCCAGGCAUUCAUUUUCUUUUAUUAUUUUUAGAUCUAUGAAUGUACCAAGUAUUUUCAGGAACUGAUCUAUUUUUCCCUUGAUGAGUCAACGUGGUCUCCUCAAUUCAGCUCUGAGUAUAUCAAGUAUUUUUUAGAUCAUGCCUGCUGCCCAACUGCCCACCCUAUCCCUUCAUUUACCUGAAUAUUAUAACAGUGCAAGGUUUACAUACUUUUUUGGUCAAUACAGCCUGUGGUGUAACAUCCCUGGGGAUGACAGAGAUCCAAAAUUUGUUUUUCUCAGUUAUUUUAGUAUAUGGGGAAGAAAAAAGAUAAAUAGUCCUUGUCCCCAAAGCUCUGAGACCAUUGAUGUAAGCUUAUUUGCCCUAUUGUGAUACAGACCAUAGCUCAUAUUCCUUUUUUUCUUUCAUUAUUACAGUUAUGGACACUUUGGUACUUUGUAAACACACAUGGCUGAUCAUUUUCCAGGUGUCAUAGCAGGAAGUGAUCACCUUCAGGAAGUCAUGGAACACAUUUCAACAUGGGUGCAGGUGUGCAUAAUUUUCUACAGUGACUGACAAGAGACUUAAGUCAUGCUGCACAUUCAGCAGGCUGGUAUCAUCUAUUCUAACAACAAUGUAUUUAAGAUCCUUAGGAAAUCUGUUUAGGGUACUUAGCUCCCAAAGUUUGCAUAAAGUAAUUCUGAAUUCAUCUCCUAGUAGGCUCAAAACAAUAAGCAAUCACUAUUGUUUUGCUCACAUCAUUCCAGCAAAACAAUAGUGAUUGCUUAUUGCCUGAUUUAAGCAAUAUGCACAUGGUAUUCAAAGAAUAAAAGAAACAGUCAUAUUUUAGGUGCCUACAUUAGCUAAUUCCCAACCUCCUUCAGGUCUCAGCUCAGGUGUCACUCAAGGAGGUCUACUCCCAAGUACUUCUGUAAUAUUUCAGUAUACCCACCCAUUCCCAGCCCUCCCAGUCUUUAUGACUUUACUUUUUGUGUUUUUUUUCUCAGCACUGAUCAUCUAACCUAAUUUUCUUGCUUAUCAUCUGUCUGCUCUCUAGAUAGUAAGAUUUAGGAAGGCAGAAACUUUCUAUUGACUGACUUAUACAAAGUGGUCAGCAGUGCCUGGCAUAUAGUUGGUGUACAAAUAAAGAGGUUUCAAUAGGACUGAUAACAGGUAAUUCAGUUGAGAAAUUAAUUAUCCAGAAAUGCACAAAUUACGAAUAUGUCAUUCAGAGAACUUUGGGAACCCAGCAAUGCUUACUAAAAAGAGGACAGGAAACAGGUUGAAUUCCAGUUCUGCCAUUUGACUUGCUCUGUGGAUGGACCAAUUUAUCACCUGUACAAAUGAAAUUCAGAGUAGUUUUUCUAUUGAAUACAUUGAGUAAUUACAUUUUCCAGAAAUGCACAAAUUAGUAAUUAUUCAGUUUUGGGGGCUAUUAAAUAAAUCCUUUGUAAGCCACUAAACACAUUAUUACAUAUUAAGAAUAAAAUAAAUUCACUUUAAAUUAAAAUGGCAAUAACUUAGGCUACCUAGCAGGAAUCCUCUCCCAAGUUUUUACUUUUCUUAUUCACUGUUAGUAGCAGAUGUAGGCUGCAGCUUGAGCCAGGGAAAAUGAAGCAGAAUAUGUUAACCUGGACAUCUCAAAAGUUUUCAGACUUGAUAUGAAACUGCAGCAAUGACUCUUUUCCUUUCUGUUAGAUUAUUCCCUUUAUAACUGAUUCUUUUGAUGUCAGUAGCUGCCCCCUAUUCUCAAAGAUGGUACUGUGGGUCUUCUUUUCCAUAUAGGUGAAAUCUAGAUGUGGGACAGAACACACAACUUGUUUUAGCCUUGUUAGGCUGGAAUCAAUAUCAUACUUUUUAAAAAAACAUUUUGAUAUUUUGAGCUACAUAAUAUAAAAUGCCUGGACAAAUAUAAUGCUGUACACACACUAACAAUAUAAACAACUUCUAUUUAUUUAGGUUUUUACCACCCAGAGCAGAAGGGACUGUAAAAUGGUGCCUUCCAAAGAGAGUACCCUCAGCUCAGGCUCCUCUUGAAUCCAGAGCUGCUCCCUUUCUGUGCUCAUUUUAGUGUUGAGGAACAGCUAGUUAAGAAGGCAAGAUCUGUGUCUUAUUUUGCUUUCUUGGAUUUUAAGAAAAUGUGGCACAUGCCUUUAAUCCCAGUGACUCAGCCUGUGGCAGUAGGAUUACAAACAAGUUCAAGGUCAGCUUGGACAAUUUGGCAAAACCCUGUGUCAAAAUAAAAAAAUAAAAAGGUCUGAGUAUGUAGCUCAGUGGUAGAGCACUGGCCUAACAAGUACAAAGCCCUGGGUUUGAUUUCCAGUAGUAAAAAUUAUGAAUAAAUGAAACAGAAAAGAAAUAGGGGCCCUAUAAGAUUUGCUAACUAUGACUAGCAAAGAAAGCAGAGAGUGAAAGACGUUUCUUGCCAUUUCUUAACUAGCUGUUCCCAAACACUUGACUGAAAAUAGGAAGGAGAGGUGUUUCUGCCCACCAGCAGCUCUGGAUUCAUGAGGAUGCCUUUUUGGAAGGCACAGUUUUAUAAUAUUAAAGAAUAUUGAAGGAAAGAGAUGGCCAAUUAGAUUUUCCAAUACCACUUGUACUCAUUUUUUUAUGAGAGGCUGGCUGCUCAGACCUAAGUUGUAUAUACAAGUCACUAUGCUAGAUAAAUAAUCUUUGACAAUAAACAAGGGUGAAUAUUAUAAUUCAUUGUGACUGCAGGAGGAGGGAGAUCAAUUCGUUUUUCCAAAAGAAGAUAAUUAAGUCAUGUUGAAUAUACAUAGUUAGAUUUGAACUCAAGUCUCACUGAAUUUCAUGCAUGGGUCCUCACCAUGGUCAAAACAAAUUAGGGCCUUUGAGUCCAUAUGAGGUUUUGAUAGAAAUACUGAAGGUUUAAAUGUUUCAGUUUUUUGGGGGGAUGGUCCCCUCUCUUCUAAAGUUGCUUCUGCUUACUCUUACAAACUAGCCAGGUUAUUUUACACCACCAGCCCAUCACUCACCUUGCUCUCAAUAUUGAUUAUCCUUCUCUGUCUGAUCUGCCUGGUGGGCUCUCUCCAAGAGCACCUCAUGUAUGAAACUUAGGAAUGACUACAAGUGACAUAGUAGUUGUAAAUGAUAGUUUAUUAUGUGCUAAUAUAAAAGCCUAGGUUUGGAAUGAAAGCUGUCUCCUCAGACACAGGCUGUCCCUAUUUUGUGUUCCCACCAGUUGGUGGUGACUUUCACUUGUGCAGUCACAGGCAACAUUUCUGCUUUGAUCAGUGGGCAUAAUAGGAGGAUAGAUCAGCUUUUCUUAAGGAAGUUUCUCUGAAGCAUCUAAGACGAGUUUAACUUACCUCUACUAACUAGAACUUAGUAACACAACCACAUCUCACUGCACGUAGAGCUGGAAAAUCUCUUUAUUCUAGGUGGCCAGUUGCCUGGUUCAGAGUUUUAUGUAUAUGGAUAAAAAGCAUAAUGGAUUUUUUUAAUGUAUAUAUAAACCAGUACCUAACAUCUCCAAUAGUCUCUUGAAAAUUGCAGUGUAAUUCUUUUUACAGUCACUGUAUCCUACAUCAUAGUAUUUUCAUUAAGGCAACCAUACAUUUUAUUGACCAUUGGAUUGCCUCUUUUGUUUUGAACCUACAUUACUUCUCAAAUUGCAUUUUUGGUCCUGCAAGGACUAGGACUAUUUCUAUUCGUCUUCAAGCCCCAGAGUGCCUCGAAGCAAAGGAAUGAGUGACUAAGUAUAUGGAUGAAUAUACCAAGAAGUAAAAUUUACUUACUUUUAGAGUAUUAGCACCUCAGCUUUGCAACUUAAUCUAAAUUAUUCUCCAUUAAACAUUAAUUGUUUAACCAAGCAACUGGGAAUCCUUUAUCAUGGUGAAAUGGUUUUUAGUAAGUUAGUCAGCUUUCUUUUGCUGUGACAAAAUAUCUAAGAUAAAUUAACUUAGAAGAGGUUUAUUUUGGCUCAUGGUUUCAGAGGGUUCAGUCCAUGGUUGCUUGGCCACAUUGCUUGAGGUCUGUAGCAGCACAAUAUAUUCAUUGAAGAAGCACAGGACAGAGAACGCUGCUCAUCUCACAGCAGCCAGGAAGCAAAGAGAAAGAGAGGAAGGAUCCAGGGGUCCCAAUAACCCUUUUAAGGGCAGGUCUCUAAUGACUUAACUUCCUUCCACUAGUCCCCACCUCCUAAAGGUUCCAAGGUGAUCAAGCCUUUAACAUAUUAAACUUUGGGAGAUAAAAUUUAAGAUCCAAGCCAUAACAAAAGUUACAUGGGACAAAUACUGUGAAAAGAAUUUAAAGUGUUUUUGUCAUCAUUAUGUAAUUAUAAAUAAAUCAAUAUGUAGUAAUUACAUAAUAAAAUGGCAUUAAUCUUAAAUUCCCAUGGUUAGGGGCUGGGGAUGUGGCUCAAGCGGUAGAGCGCUCGCCUGGCAUGCGUGCGGCCUGGGUUCAAUCCUCAGCACCACAUACAAACAAAGAUGUUGUGUCCGACGAAAACUAAACAAAUAAAUAUUUAAAAAAUUCUCUCUCUCUCUCUCUCUCUCUCUCUCUCUCUUAAAAAAAAUUCCCAUGGUUAGUUUAUUCCAAGACUUGUAAGAGACAGUUAUUUUUAUGAAUAAGCCUACUUCCUUUCUCUGCCUUUUUUUUUCCACCUUGGUUAAGUCAAAGUGGCCUAAAAUGGUGGACAUUAAAUGAAGUUAGUACUUUAAAUCUGUAUCUUGAGCCUUUCUUUCUUCUUAUAAGGAAUUUGAGACAACGGGUAAGUGAUUUGCAUAAUAUUUCCAGUUUUAAUUUCAACCUUUUUUGGAAAGUUAAUUAUUGGCAUCUUUUAUACUUAGUGAACACAAUUGUAUUAGUCAUUUUUAAAAGACAGCUGAUGUUCUUAAGAAUCUUAAGAGUUGAUUCAGAAGAGGUUGUCGUUUUCUCCAAUUACAAUGGAUUUCUUAGGCAGACAUAUAAAAUGGAGACUGGAUUUCCCUUCUCUACACGAAGCUCUAAAUCAAUAUACCAAUUAGUUAACCCUACGAAUUUCAGUUUUCCUCAUUCAUAAAGCAAAAAUAAUGCUUGUUUUGCAAGAGUUUUUAUCUUACAUAUCGUUAUAUUAUGUGUUAUUCCUUAACUGCUCUUCCUUUAGAUAUGUGUCCUCUGUCACCUGGAGUUUCUUAAAAUCGGGAUUAUGAAUAAUUCAUUUUUGUGUCCCACUAGUGCCUGGCUCUUAAUACAUUUUUUCUGAAUUUAAAACAGCUGUGCAAUAAUUAAAACCAAAGGAGUGUGGGCUGUUUUCAUAUCCUGCUUACAAAUCUAAAAAUUCUCUAGCUAGUAGGUAGGUAAGGCAUUUUGGGAAGCAAACUUAAGCCUUCAAAGUCAAGUAAAUUGUCAAAUUCAGGAUGUAAAAUGAUAAGUUGUGUCCUUGAUGUUUCCUAGUACAAUCUGUCUUUGCUGCUUUUGCUGUGGAUUUGGUUGGUGCCUCUCAAAUAAAGGCAACUGAAUUUUGGUGUUUUGUUUUUUCCUCCCAGAAACCUCAAGAUUUUCCAAAGAUUUAUCUAGAAUAUAUAAUAGAUAUCCCUCUGACUGUUUAUAUGGUAACAUUGUACUAAUUUUAUAUGGUAACAUUCUCCCAAUUUCAGUUUAACCAUUCUUUUCUUGAAGGGUCCUCUGAAACUUUCCAUCUAGGUUAGCUUCCUCUGUGCCAUACUUGUAUAAGUUUCUUUCUUCAUGGAACAUUUAAAUAGUUCAACACAUAUUACAUAGGGCAUAUUUUUCUGUCUUUUCCUCUCAAUAGAAUCUUAAUUUAUGAAGGAAACUUCCACAGUGG